rnacentral:rRNA from 1 species
AUGAACGCUGGCGGCGUGCCUAAUCCAUGCAAGUCGCGCGAACGGACGAGAAGCUUGCUUCUCUGAUGUUAGCGGCGGACGGGUGAGUAACACGUGGAUAACCUACCUAUAAGACUGGGAUAACUUCGGGAAACCGGAGCUAAUACCGGAUAAUAUUUUGAACCGCAUGGUUCAAAAGUGAAAGACGGUCUUGCUGUCACUUAUAGAUGGACCCGCGCUGCAUUAGCUAGUUGGUAAGGUAACGGCUUACCAAGGCAACGAUGCAUAGCCGACCUGAGAGGGUGAUCGGCCACACUGGAACUGAGACACGGUCCAGACUCCUACGGGAGGCAGCAGUAGGGAAUCUUCCGCAAUGGGCGAAAGCCUGACGGAGCAACGCCGCGUGAGUGAUGAAGGUCUUCGGAUCGUAAAACUCUGUUAUUAGGGAAGAACAUAUGUGUAAGUAACUGUGCACAUCUUGACGGUACCUAAUCAGAAAGCCACGGCUAACUACGUG